GAGUUUGAUCCUGGCUCAGGAUGAACGCUGGCGGCGUGCCUAAUACAUGCAAGUCGAGCGAACAGAUAAGGAGCUUGCUCCUUUGACGUUAGCGGCGGACGGGUGAGUAACACGUGGGUAACCUACCUAUAAGACUGGAAUAACUCCGGGAAACCGGGGCUAAUGCCGGAUAAUAUUUAGAACCGCAUGGUUCUAAAGUGAAAGAUGGUUUUACUAUCACUUAUAGAUGGACCCGCGCCGUAUUAGCUAGUUGGUGGGGUAAUGGCUUACCAAGGCAACGAUACGUAGCCGACCUGAGAGGGUGAUCGGCCACACUGGAACUGAGACACGGUCCAGACUCCUACGGGAGGCAGCAGUAGGGAAUCUUCCGCAAUGGGCGAAAGCCUGACGGAGCAACGCCGCGUGAGUGAUGAAGGUCUUCGGAUCGUAAAACUCUGUUAUUAGGGGAGAACAAAUGUGUAAGUAACUGUGCACGUCUUGACGGUACCUAAUCAGAAAGCCACGGCUAACUACGUGCCAGCAGCCGCGGUAAU
rnacentral:rRNA from 1 species